AUGGCCCAGAAGCAAUCCAUCACGUGAUCCAAUGGCUGUUAUCGCUCCCGACUGUGUUAAGGACUCUUUUGCACGAUCCGACGGCCAGAACUUCAUCAGAACCCAGAUCGGAUGGCUGACAUUUGAUCCGACCCUGAUAAGGAUUAUAACUCUGAUUUUUGAGCAGAUCUGGGCGGUCUGAAGCUGAUCCGACGGCCAGAAAUAUUCCUAAGGAGAUUUAUACGAUUUCUAAGGAUUUUAGGACUCUUUUUCCUAUGAAAAAAUCAUGAAAAAUUCAUCUAUAAAUAGGGGGUCCGGGAAUAAGCUUUGGGAGUAGAAAAAUUGAGUAGAGAGUGUA
rnacentral:lncRNA from 1 species